rnacentral:rRNA from 1 species
CAGUCGCCGCGGUAAUACGUAGGGCGCAAGCGUUAUCCGGAAUUAUUGGGCGUAAAGAGCUCGUAGGCGGGUUGUCGCGUCUGCCGUGAAAGUCCGGGGCUCAACCCCGGAUCUGCGGUGGGUACGGGCAGACUAGAGUGAUGUAGGGGAGACUGGAAUUCCUGGUGUAGCGGUGAAAUGCGCAGAUAUCAGGAGGAACACCGAUGGCGAAGGCAGGUCUCUGGGCAUUAACUGACGCUGAGGAGCGAAAGCAUGGGGAGCGAACAGGAUUAGAUACCCUCGUAGUCCCUGUCUCUUAUAC